UCGAUGAGUAGGAGGGCGCGG
rnacentral:siRNA from 1 species